UACGUAGGUGGCAAGCGUUGUCCGGAUUUAUUGGGUUUAAAGGGUGCGUAGGCGGUCGCUUAAGUCAGUUGUGAAAUAUCCCGGCUCAACCGGGAGGGUGCGAUUGAUACUGGGCGGCUCGAGUAACAGCGAGGUUGGCGGAAUUGACGGUGUAGCGGUGAAAUGCAUAGAUAUCGUCAAGAACACCGAUAGCGAAGGCAGCCAACUAGGGGUUAACUGACGCUGAGGCACGAAAGUGCGGGGAUCAAACAGG
rnacentral:rRNA from 1 species